GUUUGACCCAAGGGCUCCCCAAGGUGUCUCGAACCCUAACAUCUUGAAAUCCAUUUCUCCAAAAUCUCACGCAAAGGCUUUACGUUCCAAGAAGAAAGGAGAGAAGAUGUUGAAGAAGACUUCCAUGGCGGUUCCAUCCUUUCGGAUCUUCGUCUCCCCUUUGCGCUUGGUGUGUGAGUUUUUUCACCUUGCAUUAUUUAUUAUACCAGAAUAAGUGUCUGGUCUGAUUUAUUUUUUUUAAAUUUUAUUUUGGGAAAAAUAUCUAUUUUUCAUUGGAUUUGAGUUUGAUUCUAUACUUACCCAUUUGAUUUCAACUCAAGAUCAUUUUUUAAGUUUAAAAUUUAUACCCAAAAAAUUCUAUUGUUAUUUACCAUCGAUUUCCAGAAUCUAGGUUUAUUUAUUUAUUUAAUUGGGGGGUUGUUUAUUGAAGCUUAAUGCUUCUUUAAUUGAUAUUAUACGUAAAUGGUAUCUAAGCUCUGGGUUCUUGUAAUGUAAUGUAAUGUAAAACCCAUAUGAAUUUUAAGUCAAUUUAUUUAUGUGAAUUAUGUGGUGGUGGGCGUUUAAUUUAUUCUGAAAUUCAUGUCAGUAAACUAUAUGAAACGGAUACGAUGAUCUGGAAUUUUGUAUACGGUUCUUAUUUUUGGACAGAAUGGCAAGACUUGUAGAUCGUGGUAGUUCUACUCAGCGAUCGUUGUCGCAGUGCCAGCACCUGCUAAGUUAGCUAGGAACAUCAAUGACAAUACCUAUUAUGUGGCUGGAAUUUGAGAAACGCAUGGAGGUCGCUAAGAAGACCGAAAAUGAAAGAUGGCUAUUCUUUUGUUGUAGUAAUGAUUGCAGUCAUUACAAGUGGAACGACGUUUCGUUUGGUGGAAUUAAACAUGUGCAACUUGAUUGUGAGUCCAAUGGUGAGUCAUGAUAUACUUGUUUGGGUAGCUCUCAUCCCAAGUAUCCAAUUGAAGAUUUUUCCCAUGUAUUGAAGAAUUUGGUUCGCAUAAUCGCUAUGAAUAUGUGGAAAUCUCAUCAAGUUUUUUCUAAUUACACUUUUAUAUGCAUUCGAACAUUGUAGCCUUUAGCUUUGCACUAUAUAAUAAUAAUAAUAUGUUUUGGUUGGACCUCCUUCCAGGCUCCAUUAGGUGACAAAGCUUUUGUACAAGAUAUGGAGUGAAGAUCAUUUAAAAACACUUGAUUUGUAGUUCCCAAUAGUUCUCCAUCAAGGGAAUUCUUAAUUGGUAGGUACAUGUACGAUUUAUUGUUAAAAACAACAAAAAUAUUAAUCC
rnacentral:lncRNA from 1 species